ensembl:lncRNA
GGUGUUUUGUAUUUGGGUAGUGUUGUAUCAGUGGUGUUUUGUAUUUAGGUAGUGUUGUAUCAGUGGUGUUUUGUAUUUAGGUAGUGUUGUAUCAGUGGUGUUUUGUAUUUAGGUAGUGUUGUAUCAGUGGUGUUUUGCAUUUAGGUAGUGUUGUAUCAGUGGUGGUUUGUAUUUAGGUGGUGUUGUAUCAGUGGUGUUUUGUAUUUAGGUAGUGUUGUAUCAGUGGUGUUUUGUAUUUAGGUAGUGUUGUAUCAGUGGUGUUUUGUAUUGAGGUAGUGUUGUAUCAGUGGUGUUUUGUAUUGAGGUAGUGUUGUAUCAGUGGUGUUUUUAUCAGUGGUGUUUUGUAUUUAGGUAGUGUUGUAUCAGUGCUGUUUUGUAUUGAGGUAUUGUUGUAUCAGUAGUGUUUUGUAUUGAGGUAGUGUUGUAUCAGUGGUGUUUUGUAUUGAGGUAUUGUUGUAUCAGUAGUGUCUUGUAUUGUGGUGGUGUUGUAUUGUUGGUGUUUUGUAUUGAGUUGGUGUUGUAUCAGUGGUG